rnacentral:rRNA from 1 species
GAUGAACGCUAGCGAUAGGCUUAACACAUGCAAGUCGAGGGGCAGCACAAGGUAGCUUGCUAUCUGGGUGGCGACCGGCGCACGGGUGCGUAACGCGUAUGCAACUUGCCCUAUACAGGAGGAUAACCCGUCGAAAGACGGACUAAUACUGCGUAUGCUCACAACUUGGCAUCAAGUGGUGAGGAAAGAAAUUCGGUAUAGGAUAGGCAUGCGUCCCAUUAGCUUGUUGGUGAGGUAACGGCUCACCAAGGCAACGAUGGGUAGGGGAACUGAGAGGUUUAUCCCCCACACUGGUACUGAGACACGGACCAGACUCCUACGGGAGGCAGCAGUGAGGAAUAUUGGUCAAUGGGCGCGAGCCUGAACCAGCCAAGUCGCGUGAAGGGUGACUGUCUUAUGGAUUGUAAACUUCUUUUAUACGGGAAUAACAAGAGUCACGUGUGACUCCCUGCAUGUACCGUAUGAAUAAGCAUCGGCUAACUCCGUG